GAUGAAGAACGCAGCGAAAUGCGAUAAGUAAUGUGAAUUGCAGAAUUCAGUGAAUCAUCGAAUCUUUGAACGCACAUUGCGCCCGCCAGUAUUCUGGCGGGCAUGCCUGUUCGAGCGUCAUUACAACCCUCAGGCCCCCGGGCCUGGCGUUGGGGAUCGGCGGAGCCCCCCGUGGGCACACGCCGUCCCCCAAAUGCAGUGGCGGUCCCGCCGCAGCUUCCAUCGCGUAGUAGCUAACACCUCGCGACUGGAGAGCGGCGCGGCCACGCCGUAAACACCCAACUCUUCUGAAGUUGACCUCGAAUCAGGUAGGAAUACCCGCUGAACUUAAGCAUAUCAAUAAGCGGAGG
rnacentral:misc_RNA from 1 species